UUCACUCAUAUAUAUUUACACAUUCUUCUCUGACGACAAGGUAAAGUUAAAGCUUGAUGUUCACAGUCUACCUAAGCCUGUGAAUGUCAAAGUGUCGCCACCUUAAUUGACAACACAAUGGUCCAACCAAAACGGCAGUCGAUAUCAUCAGAAAUCUAUGUCUUGUAAUGAAUGAGCGCCAUCCCUCCGUCGUCUCCCCGAGAGUUUUGUCAUCUCUCCGAGAAAUCAUCAACUUUUGGUUGAUAGUCGAUAGAAUGUUAAGACAGGAUGUACAUUUAACAGUAAAAGAACAUGCUAUAGACUUAAAAUGAUUGGACAAAAAUACGUCAUUGAUGAUUUUAACUAAUUUUCUCUAGAUUUGAUUCCGAGCAUUUAUCGUGCAGAAUAUGUUUCGAAACUAAAUCCAUUACAUGACGAUUAUUACGAUAAGCCAAUCAAGAGAAACAAUAGGAAAACUAGAUAACUGUUCGUCCAAUACAACAUAUAGAUUUUUCAUUGGCUAACAAUAUCAAAAAGCUCUUAGUAGCACGAGAUCAUUAAAAAGAGCAUAAGGGAUAAGACAGCUGCAGUUUAACGAAACCGGCUGUCUCUGCUGCAUCAAAUCAUAAAUAACGGCUCGAGAAGACAGGUUGAACGUUCAGUCGACUAUAUCUCUUGAAAUUAACAGCAGAACACGUAGGUGCAGAAGGAAUCUAAGAGAUAAAGAAAUGAAUCUUUCUCACGAAACAGACAAGAAAAUAAAACAGUUGGAGCUUCUCGAAAGAGAAGUUCAAAACCUCAACAGAAUGCUCUUGAUAAAACGUCGAAACAUUAGCGACUGCGCACAAGAAUUGAUCAGUUACUGUCUAGACAACGAAAAAAACGAUGCUUUUCUCAACAAGAUACCAUCGUCAAAAAAUCCAUUUCGAGACACGGGAGGUCUGGGUAGUUUUAAGAAUUGUCAAUUAUUAUAGUGUAGAACUUUGACGGAAUAAGCUAUACGUAAAAAGUUAAGUCAUUGUAGAGAUCACUGUAUUGGUUGUACUUAAAAUAAUGAUUGUAUAUGGUCCAUAUUAGUAAAAUUUCUUCAUCGUA